ensembl:lincRNA
CCAUGCAGAUGCCUUCUGAGGGAAAGUGAGACACGGUUCCUGUUUGACACCCGUGGGAAGUGAUGCUCUCGAUCCAGCAUCCGUCAAGGAUCCAGCUCCGGUUUUUUUCAUUUAUUUGUGAUAGGGCCUCUUGAAGCCCAAACUGGCCUUGGACUCCAAAUCCUUCUCCUCUUCAAAUGCUGGGGUUGCAGGCCCAUGACCCCAUGUCACGCUGGAGCCCCAGUUUUUAUCCAAGAGGGUUUCAUUCAGCACACAUAGGACAUGGGAAAGGGACGGAGAGGCUCAAUGACAGCUGUGUUUUCCCAUGUUUCACUGGACUUGGUUUCACCUUGGAUAGAGUCAGUGCGCCCAGGACAUCCCCCUCACCACUGGGAGGCUCCAGGAAAAAAAUCCGUGUGGAAAGGUGGAAGUCAGACAGAAAGUGGGGCUGAAAAGGACACUUGGUCUAAGAGAGCACACAUAGGACAUGGGAAAGGGAUGGAGAGGCUCAUUCUUGAUGAAGAGUCAAGGUACAAAGUGGGAGAGGCAUGGAUUUCAACCGUGUGCUGUGGAAAGAGACAUCCCAUGAACACCCAGGGAGCAGCUUUUUGCAAUGAGCAGGGAUGCUGUGGAGCCCAGAAUGAAGCAGUUUACCAUUGCAAAGGUAUUUCGUCCAGCCACUGGGUAAUUCAGUCAAUGGACAUUUGCUGA